UUGAAGCAUCAGUCACAAGAUCAAUCAUUUUCUUUAAAGUUCAUUCUAUUCACUCUCUUAUAUCAUAAUGAUUCUUGAUCUUUAGUAUAAUAAUAAAAUCAAAUCUACUACAUGUUUUGAGACCAUAGUUUCAAUACCAGAAUUUAUGAUGGAGGAAAAGACGGUAGUACCAUCCGUUAUUCACUGGAAGAAUCUUGUUUGGGAACUUGUGGAGAAACUGGACAAUGGGUACGAUAAAUUUAUUGAAGAUCUUCGUAUUAGUUAAUUGCGUCUACAAAUUAAUGAUAUUUCAGCAAUAUUUUAUUUCGAAGCAUUUGCAAGCUUAUGUAUGUUAAUUACUCUUUAAA